AGAAAGAAACAUGGUUUUUCUAGACAACAAAGCACCUUGACCUAAGAGAUUAAACUAUUCAAAUCAUGCAUAUAAGUUUCUCUUUUGCUUCACUUAAAUUACAACCACUUUCUAACUUAUAACCCAACUUUCUUUCAUUCAAUUCUCUUUUCUUUCUUCUUUUUCCUCAGUUUUCUAUUUUUCUAAUUUUUUCUCAAACCCUUAAAAAACAAAUUCCCCCAAACUUUAAACCAUUCUCCUG
rnacentral:lncRNA from 1 species